rnacentral:rRNA from 1 species
UACGAAGGGUGCAAGCGUUACUCGGAAUUACUGGGCGUAAAGCGUGCGUAGGUGGUUCGUUAAGUCUGAUGUGAAAGCCCUGGGCUCAACCUGGGAAUGGCAUUGGAAACUGGCGACCUAGAGUGUGGUAGAGGGUAGUGGAAUUCCCGGUGUAGCAGUGAAAUGCGUAGAGAUCGGGAGGAACAUCCGUGGCGAAGGCGACUACCUGGACCAGCACUGACACUGAGGCACGAAAGCGUGGGGAGCAAACAGG